GGAAGGGAUUCGCUCCCCGGUGGGACGGCCGGACUUCAAAUCCGGUUGAGCACGUCAGACGUGCUCAGGUGGGUUCGACUCCCACUUCCUUCCGCCA
rnacentral:tRNA from 1 species